GACGGAGGAGGCAAGCGUUAUCCGGAAUUAUUGGGCGUAAAGCGUCCGCAGGCGGCUUUUUAAGUCUGUUGUCAAAGGUCGCAGCUCAACUGUGGAUCGGCAAUGGAAACUGGAGAGCUUGAGUGUGGUAGGGGUAGAGGGAAUUCCCGGUGUAGCGGUGAAAUGCGUAGAUAUCGGGAAGAACACCAGUGGCGAAGGCGCUCUACUGGGCCACAACUGACGCUGAGGGACGAAAGCUAGGGGAGCGAAAGGG
rnacentral:rRNA from 1 species